CUUUCGGGAGAAGGUGUGCCCGCCGACGUGAUGGAACUUGCUUCCUGAGCGUUGGCGGGUCGCAGUGAAAUGGGGGUUGCGACUGUUUACUAAAAACACAGGACUGUGCGAACUCGUAAGAGGACGUAUACGGUCUGACGCCUGCCCGGUGCUGGAAGGUUAAGGGGAGAGGUUAGCGCAAGCGAAGCUUCGAACCGAAGCCCCAGUAAACGGCGGCCGUAACGAUAACGGUCCUAAGGUAGCGAAAUUCCUUGUCGGGUAAGUUCCGACCUGCACGAGGGCGUAACGACAUCCCUACUGUCUCGGCCAGCGACUCAGCGAAAUUGUAUCGGGGGUGAAGAUACCCUCUACCCGCGGCAAGACGGAAAGACCCCAUGAACCUUUACUGCAACUUGGCAGUGAGGUUCGGAACAGUCUGCGUAGGAUAGGUAGGAGGCUUUGAAGUCGGGAUUCCGGUCUCGAUGGAGCCGUCGUUGAAAUACUACCCUGGCUUUUCUGGACUUCUAACCUAGGCCCCUCAACGGGGUCGGGGACACUGCCUGGUGGGCAGUUUGACUGGGGCGGUCGCCUCCCAAACAGUAACGGAGGCGCGCGAAGGUACCCUCAGGCUGAUUGGAAACCAGCCGGCGAGUGCAAUGGCACAAGGGUGCUUAACUGUGAGAGGGACACCUCGAGCAGGUGCGAAAGCAGGCCAUAGUGAUCCGGUGGUCCCGCAUGGAAGGGCCAUCGCUCAUCGGACAAAAGGUACUCUGGGGAUAACAGGCUGAUCGCGCCUGAGAGUCCAUAUCGGCGGCGCGGUUUGGCACCUUGAUGUCGGCUCAUCGCAUCCUGGGGCUGGAGCAGGUCCCAAGGGUUUGGCUGUUCGCCAAUUAAAGCGGUACACGAGCUGGGUUUAGAACGUCGUGAGACAGUUCGGUCCCUAUCUGCCGUGGGCGCAGGAUACUUGAGAGGAGCUGUUCAUAGUACGAGAGGACCUGAACGGACGCACCUCUAGUGUUCCGGUUGUCAUGCCAAUGGCAUAGCCGGGUAGCUAUGUGCGGAACGGAUAACCGCUGAAAGCAUCUAAGCGGGAAGCCGGCCUCAAGACAAGGUAUCCCGGGGCAUAAGCCCCCUGAAGGCCCCUUGAAGACUACAAGGUGAUAGGCGGGAGGUAGAAGCGCAGCGAUGCGCGGAGCUGACCCGUACUAAUAGGCCGUGCGGCUUGACC
rnacentral:rRNA from 1 species